GUCUUUCAUGUGCCAUUUUUCAAUUCACAGAUAAAAAGAAAAAGGAAUGGGAAUGUGUGUAGUCACAGAGACUGGCUCAGCUGGAAUCUUUGUUCCUUUUUAGAGCAUCCUUGAGAAGCAUGGUACUGAAGGUGCAAAACCAGAAAAGGCAAAAAAACUCUGAGUCUAAAAGUGAUCUGAAUGUGAUUUUAAAAAAAACAAGGAGCUAGAAAAGAAGGAUGAGGAAGAAAAAUCUGAGGAUGAGAAAGACAAAAAAACCCACCAAAAACCAAAACCCAAAGAAAGUGAAGAUGAAGAAGCAGCAGAAGAAACAGAGGAAUAUGAUGAAGAAGAGCAUGAAGAAGAGCAUGAAGAAGUAUAAUGUUAGUUUUCCUUUUUACACAGAGUCAGAUUCCAGUCAUUUAUAUUGUGUUAGCUGGUAAAGAAAUGUCCCUAGCUCCCAAUAAGGCAGAGUUGUUGUGGGAGAAAUUAUUACAUUCAUGAUUUGUUGCACUACACUACAUUGUAAAUUUAAGUGAGUGCUCUAGAUUUGAUACAAAGAACUCUGAAAAAAAGAUCUUGUACACAAGAAUGUGUUCUGACACAAUCAAUACACACAAUUACUCCUUUUCAUCACUAAAACAGCGAUGUCUGUUGUUUCAUAUAUAUCAGGACUUCAUUAUAGCAUUUUCCUUUUUCUUUCCCAAGAAUCUAUUACUGUUUUAAAGUAUGGGUGCUCAAGUGCAGUUUAAAUCACGUUUCUUCUAGAAAUUGUCUUCUCUACACGUAUGGUGAUGUUGUUUUUCCAUCGGCUUAGAAAAAUUACUACGUCUUCCUGUUUUGAAGAUGGAGAUGCCUUUGGUGCUUUCAGUUAUGACAGUAUGAUUGAAGCAACAUAGUAGCUGUUGUUUCUAAGUGUUAACACUGCUCAAGCCUUACACUACUUGAAGCAAAAUUCUGGAGGUAGGCUGAGUAUCAACAUAUUUAAUGCAGUUAGCUUAAUGCUUUAGCUGUGUUGGUUGUAAGCAGGCUCUCCAAGAACACAUUGGAGUUUAAUUGUAUUGUGCUGUAAAAGAGGACAGGGAAUCCUUUUCUUUUCUUUUGCAAAGUGUUUUGCAGAUGUGCCUUUUUAAGGUCCUCUGCAAUGCUUACUAAUAGAGUAAGCUUUAUGCCACUGUGUUUACGAUGCAAAGGGAAAAAAAAAAAAAGUGUUUUACUUGAAAUUGUGUCUAAGCAUUUGCACUAGUCAAUUCUAUACCUUAACAGUAAAGUCUUGAAACAACAUAAUUUUUGAUAACCACUGUAAAAAAAGACAUAUAGCCUUUAUGGACAUGAGCUGCUUGUUGGCAGCUGACUCAUCUGAAAAACUUUAUGUAACUUCUGAGUUCAGAUAACUAAAAAAUAAUUGACAGCACUUUAAUAUAAACUCACCUGGAAGGACCUUAGUAAUACAGAUAAACGGCAGUAAUUAGUAAAGUCUAGUUAGAAGUAAAUAGUAAAGUUUAGUUUGAAGAAGACAUUGCCUUUAGCAUUUUGGUCUAAAGGAACACAUUAAAAUAUGUUAUAUUACUUUCUUGAAUCAGGAUAAAUAAUAAACAAAGAUAAUUUGGCUUAGAAAGAAUAUAUGGCAGAACUUAAGAAAUUAUGGAAUCCUGGUUUACACUGGUGCCCUCACUAGUGAUGAAAACUUGAACCCUUUGCCUCAGUUUCUCCACCUCUUAUGGCAAUAUUUUCUUACCUCAGAGCUCCUAAGUGAGCUGGCAGAUGACAGCUAUCUAUGUAAUUGUUAAUGUACUUGUUUAUUUUCCUACAGAACAAACUAGACAGAAACAGACAACAAAUCAAUAAGAAAUAAAUCCCAUAAUAUAGAAAAGGAAUGUGGUGAAGUAUUUUAAUGCAUGAUUUAAUUAGAAAAAUAACAGAAUGCCGAGCAAAAGAAAAAGCUGAAUGUUUGGAAACAUCGUUUUUAUUUGAGAACAAACAGCUGUAGCAUUGAAAACUUAUUACUGAGAUUAGACACUUGAAGAACACUGUGACAGCACAUUCUCCGUAUCUUAUUGUCUUUUGAUAGUAAAAAAAUACUAUUUUUUUUUCUUGUUACUACCCCUAUUGAUUAGGGGGUUUGGUCUUUUUUUGUUCGUUUGUUUUGAGGUUUUAUUUUCUUAAAAAAAGUAUUUCCCUUCACUGGUGACUGGGAAAUAAUUCUGCAUUAUUCUGUGAACUUGUCUGCAGCAAGAAUCAGUCCUUCAGGUGCAAUUUUCAAGUGUUCCAACAAAAUACCUAUUAUAUAUAAAGGAAAUGAAACUAAAAUGCUAUGCAGGUCAUACCUCAGAGGUUAACUGCUUUUAUUUUGAAGUGUUGUUGUAGAUUACAAUGUGUAAUAAAUAUUCAGCUGCAUUGCUCAGGAAA